GUGCCAGCAGCCGCGGUAACACCAGCUGCACAAGUGUAUAUUAAAGUUGUUGCAGUUAAAAAGCUCGUAGUUGGAUAUCUGUCUUAGCAGACCUAGCCCUAGGUGUGCCCUUUGGGUUACUGCCUGGUGCGCUGGUUGUGGCGACCUUUGCUUCGGCGAUGUUGUUGUCCGUCAUGCUGGACAUCCUUCAGGAGAACUAUCCUGCCAUUAAUUUGGUUGGGGUAAGGAUCCUGAUCGUUUACUUCGAAAAAAUUAGAGUGUUUAACGCAGGCGUUUGCCGUGAAUAUAUUAGCAUGGAAUAAUAAGAUAGGACUUCGGCAUCGUUGGUAGUUGCCUUGGGGGAUGAGUACCUCUCGGUCUUCGGAUUGGGUAGCGUGCCUGUUUUCCCUUGGAUCAACAGCUGCCAGCCGUUCUAUUUUGUUGGUUUCUAGAGCUGAAGUAAUGAUUGAUAGGGAUAGUUGGGGGUGCUCGUAUUGCCGGGCCAGAGGUGAAAUUCUCGGAUUCUGGUAAGACGAACUUAUGCGAAAGCAUUCACCAAGGAUGUCUUCUUUAAUCAAGAACGAAAGUUGGGGGGAUCGAAGACGAUCAGAUACCGUCGUUAGUCUCAACCGUAAACUAUGCCAUCUAGGGAUUGGGCGUCGUUGACUUAUAGGACUCGCUCAGCACCUUAUUUGAGAAAUCAAAGACUUUGGGUUCUGGGGGGAGUAUGGCCGCAAGGCUGAAACUUUUAAAGGAAUUUGACGGAA
rnacentral:rRNA from 1 species